AGGAGGAACAGCCCCAGUGGCGGGGCCAGCUCUGGAAACCUGGAUGCAGCUCCGGCAGGAACUAUGGAGCUCUCCGACUGCAGUGCCUGGAGGUUCCGGGGCGGG
rnacentral:pre_miRNA from 1 species